rnacentral:lncRNA from 1 species
AUACCAGCCCUGGUGCCAGCCCUGAUACCCGCCCUGAUACCCGCCCUGAUACCAGCCCUGAUACCAGCCCUGAUACCUGCCCCAGAUACCAGCCCUGAUACCUGCCCUGAUACCUGCCCUGAUACCAGCCCUGAUACCUGCCCUGAUACCCGCCCUGAUACCUGCCCUGAUACCAGGCACAGCCAACCACCGCACGGACAGGCUCCACUACACAGCCAACCACCCCACAGACAGGCUCCACUACACAGCCAGACACCCCACAGACAGGCUCCACUACACAGCCAACCACCCCACGGACAGGCUCCACUACACAGCCAACCACCCCACAGACAGGCUCCACUACACAGCCAACCACCGCACGGACAGGCUCCACUACACAGCCAACCACCCCACAGACAGGCUCCACUACACAGCCAGACACCCCACAGACAGGCUCCACUACACAGCCAACCACCCCACAGACAGGCUCCACUACACAGCCAACCACCCCACAGACAGGCUCCACUACACAGCCAACCACCGCACGGACAGGCUCCACUACACAGCCAACCACCCCACAGACAGGCUCCACUACACAGCCAACCACCGCACAGACAGGCUCCACUACACAGCCAACCACCCCACAGACAGGCUCCACUACACAGCCAACCACCCCACAGACAGGCUCCACUACACAGCCAACCACCCCACAGACAGGCUCCACUACACAGCCAACCACCCCACAGACAGGCUCCACUACACAGCCAGACACCUUGCUACUCAACCCAACAAAACGGACACGCUGUGAUUGCCUCCUGGGAUGACCUGUUUUGAAGAAUGUCCCGACCACCUGUUGCUCCUGAGACAAGAUGGCUCCCAGAAUCAGUUCCUUUUCCUUUUCUCCCGUGACAUAAUCCAGUUUGUUUUGCUACAUUACUGACUGACAUGUUGUUGCAGUGUCAUGUACACAUUUAAAGUGGCGGUUAAAUAAAAAAACAACAACAUUGACAACUUUCAUAACAGUUACAUACCAAUAUAUAUUUUUAAUUAAAAAUAAAUAAAAAAAUAAAAAAAUGUGUUGUUAAAUGACUAGCCUGCUCAUAUGGUUCUUGAACAUUUAGUUUGUCAGCAGAUUGUGGUUUUCCUGCUGGAGUUAGAUCUAUACUGCCCCCUACUGUAAUAACAACAGGUCUAUACUGCCCCCUACUGGAGUAACAACAGGUCUAUACUGCCCCCUACUGUAGUAACAACAGGUCUAUACUGCCCCCUGCUGUAGUAACAACAGGUCUAUACUGCCCCCUACUGGAGUAACAACAGGUCUAUACUGCCCCCUACUGUAG